GAUGAACGCUAGCGGCAGGCCUAAUACAUGCAAGACGAACGGUAAGUUGAGUAGCAAUACUUAGCCAAGAGUGUCGUACGGGUGCGUAACACGUAUGCAACCUACCCUAUACAGGAGGAUAGCCUAGGGAAACCUGGAUUAACCCUUCAUAGUAUUAUUGGAUGGCAUCAUUUGAUAAUUAAAACUGAGGUGGUAUAGGAUGGGCAUGCGUCUGAUUAGUUAGUUGGCGGGGUAAUGGCCCACCAAGACGAUGAUCAGUAGGGGUUCUGAGAGAAAGAUCCCCCACACUGGCACUGAGAUACGGGCCAGACUCCUACGGGAGACAGCAGUAGGGAAUAUUGGGUCAAUGGAUGCAAGUCUGAACC
rnacentral:rRNA from 1 species